UUUCUGUGUCAUCUCUUCGCAGGCCAAAAGGUGUUGGGCGCUCAGCGGUGUGAGUUGGGGCGCAGACUUGCACCGCAGGACGCGAGGUGCUGACACGGGAGGUGCCUCCGGACCGGAGCAGCGCUUGGACACCUGCUCUGACCACCACUGAAGUGUCACCAGGUCUCUUACCCAGCUGCAGUGUCCUCACAGGGUGAGAGCCUGCUGGGAGCCUCAUCUGAAGAACAACGCAGUACUGGGGUACCCAAGGAGGGCUAAAGGACGUCCAUCAGGAGAGUCUGAUCUUGGAAACUUCAACAGUGUGGCCUGACAUGACACAUGUUUAUUCAUCCUCUGCUUUCACAACGGGCUAAUAAAGGUCUGCAGUGCCUGGAGAAGGCAGGUGCUGCUGUAGGGGAGCACGGGCUCGAGCCACGUAAUCAUCCAUUGCCCCACGUGCAAGCCGGAUAGCC